rnacentral:rRNA from 1 species
AGAGUUUGAUCCUGGCUCAGGAUGAACGCUGGCGGCGUGCUUAACACAUGCAAGUCGAACGGGGUGCCUUAGAAAGAGGAUUCGUCCAAUUGAUAAGGUUACCUAGUGGCGGACGGGUGAGUAACGCGUGAGUAACCUGCCCUGGAGUGGGGAAUAACAGCUGGAAACAGCUGCUAAUACCGCAUAAUGCAGUUGGGUCGCAUGGCUCUGACUGCCAAAGAUUUAUCGCUCUGGGAUGGACUCGCGUCUGAUUAGCUAGUUGGUGGGGUAACGGCCCACCAAGGCGACGAUCAGUAGCCGGGCUGAGAGGUUGGCCGGCCACAUUGGGACUGAGACACGGCCCACACUCCUACGGGAGGCAGCAGUGGGGAAUAUUGGGCAAUGGGCGCAAGCCUGACCCAGCAACGCCGCGUGAAGGAAGAAGGCUUUCGGGUUGUAAACUUCUUUUGUCAGGGACGAAGCAAGUGACGGUACCUGACGAAUAAGCCACGGCUAACUACGUGCCAGCAGCCGCGGUAAUACGUAGGGGGCAAGCGUUAUCCGGAUUUACUGGGUGUAAAGGGAGCGCAGACGGCUGUGCAAGUCUGGAGUGAAAGGCGGGGGCCCAACCCCCGGACUGCUCUGGAAACUGUAAAGCUGGAGU